rnacentral:rRNA from 1 species
GUCUAUGACCAUGCCACCCUGAACGAGCCCAAUCUCAUCUGAUUUUGGAAGCUAAGCAGGGUUGGGCCUGGUUAGUACUUGGAUGAGAGACCACCUAGAAAGACCAGGUGCUGCAGGCA